CUAGGAGAAGGAACCUCAAUGGGGAGUACAGGAAAAGAGGAGCUGGACUUAAGUAUAGGACCCAGAGUCCAUGAGGAGAGAGAUGAGAAAACCCUAAAUGGAAAACAACAAGCCAAGAAAGUGGGGCCCAUAUAGGAAAGACAAGGGCAAAGAAGAAGCAGGAAAGUGAAAACCAUAGAUGAAUACCAAGAACAUGAGAUCCAAGUGGUGAAUACCAGAGCAGAGGAGAAGCUAGAAAAGUGGGUGAAGGAGCAGGGGACAGCCAUGUAAGGACAACCUGAAGGAUGGGAGGUGAACCCACUGUAUCCCAGUUAGGGGGCCCAGAGGAGGCAGUGACCCCAGAUGCCUAACUCCUAAGGGGGAAUUAGAGACCCCAAAGCAUGAGGGGUUAGCUGGGGAACAUACCGCAGCAUCCUUGACGAAAGGUGGAGGUAGCUCCCGAGCCAGAGACUGUAGAUUGUCCCUGGUGUGAUGACCUGUAGGAAUUUCAGGGGUAGGAAUUGCUGUCUUCAUAAGAAAGAUAGAAUCCAGUCACGAAGAAAACUGAGCCCUAGUGGAAAAGAGGGGGCCCCUAGCUGAGCUGGGACGGUUAAAGAGAGGAGGUAUGUGUUGGGGUGCUAUUAACAACUUCCAGCUGGGCUCGAUGGAAGCCAUCACCCAGGUCACGUAGAACACCCAGGACACUGGGUGUGUUUAAGGUAGAAGGGAGUACUGAUACCUGCUGAUAGCCUGAUGAGUUAAUGAGGUAAUUAGCUCACCAGCUGGAGAACCCAGGAAGGAAACCUGGUAGUAUAAAAGGCAGGGAGCAGGAAGGAGCUCUUCAAAACUGCUUCUAUGUGGUUGUAUUAUACCUGGAGUUUAAGAAGAAGACAACAAACAAUAAAAAGUUUUUUAGGAGGAAUAUAGAAAAUGGAAUGAGGACAAUCUGUAUCUGCUCUAGCAACGUCUUCGAGAGAUGGGACAAGGGGAAGAGAGGUGUGAUUAUAGAAAAUGGAAAAUUCAAACUGGAGUUGCAAGCCUCCUAUGUCAGCGAUGUUUUAACCAGCUGGGGGCAGAAUGACGUUUUGGAAAUUAAAGAGAAAAGAGGUAAAAAUGACAAAUCCACUGGUAUUUCUGCAUCUGAGCCUCACCAUUAAUAAUAUAACAUGAAAAAUUCUAUCAGGAAGAUUUUGUCUCAGAUCCUUUAUAUUGUACUUGCAGCCAGACUUCCUGCUCUUGGACACAAAAGGCUAAAUUCAACCAUGGUAUAAAUGGGUACAAUGCUAUUGAUUUCCCUGCACUUGCUCCCACUUAUACCAAGACUGUAUCCAGAGUGUUUCUCUGGAGGCUGCAAGGAUGGUGAAUCAUAGCAGCAGAUAGAAAACAUCACCCUGCCCCUGGGAGACCAAACAUGGCCAACUGAAACAGAGACUCCACCAUGGACUGAGAAGCAGCUUCUAUGCAUCUAACAGAAGCAGAGAGAGAACUGAAGCCAGAGGCUCUUCCAGUGAACCUGAUCUUGAAUCUCUUCUCCCUUUUCAGCACUAAACUGCAUUGUCUUAAUCUGGGACUAUGAUUUAUCUGUGAAAUUCCUAGUGGGUGGCAGAGGUGUGAAAGGGAGCUACUCAAAGUUCCCCAGAGCUGCAGGCUGAGGCCAGAUCCUGGAGCUCAGCUCUGUUGUGCCCAGUGGAGUUCGGUGGUAAAGGAUUUGUGCAAAAGUGGUUGUAACUGGGAACCACUGAAUCAGUUGGUGUGUAAGGCAAGAUAGAGCAUCUUCAGGACACAGGAAGUGGUGCUGGUGAUUCUUGACCUCAAUAGACCCUAAUAGGAAGCUCAAAUAAUACAGUAUAUGUAUAACAGCAUUUCAGCCAGGGAGGAAGAAGAGAACCUGACUACCAAACCAGAAGGGAAAACUGCUACACACCAGCCUGGUUAUUAGACACAGAGAAGAUAUCUUGCCAUCCCUCAUGGUAGGCAGGAACUUUUGAUCAGAAACUGGUCAGACAUUCCCAGAGUGGUUGAGAGCCUGUCAAGGUCACUGCCAAGGACAAGAGAGUCAAUUAGUAUGCAGAUCAGAGGCAAGGAGUUCAAAGAGAGAAGUGCCAUGAGGGAUUUGCACAGAACUUUGUCCACCAAAUGAUGAAAGCAUGCAAAUUCCUCAGAAUCAAAAGGUAAAUCAAAAGAAAUGGCAGCCAGGAAGACAAGACACCAAUGACAGCCCAUCAGUUGCAUAAUCGCAUGACAGACCUAGGGGCAACUCCAAAGCAGCCAACAGAGCCGCCCAAGGAACCUGCCAUGGAGACAGAUGUCAUUACCAGAAGAAAAAUUUUCACAGCCUUGUGUGAGGGGUUGAAGAAGUAAAAAAUACAUAUAUACACACAUUUCAUGACUUUAUAUAUAGUUUUGGCAAGAAAACUUUAUUUUGAAAGAGUUUUUUGAUAGAGAUAUUUUGUGAAAUAUGUAAUGAAUUCUUAGAAAUGAAUGUGGUUUUAUGUUUGUGUGCACGUGUCCAUGCGCACAUUGGUUCUGCGAAGAACUUCAAAUGCAUCUCUUAAGCAACCAUAAUAAUUUAGGGUUUGUAUUGGGAAAUAACUAGUCAGGUGCAUUUGUUUGCAGAAUUUUUUUAAGUUAAGUGAGUGGUUUAUGUGCAGGGAACCCAUUUAUAUCCAGCAAAUCCCCAUUAAGAAAAAAGCUAAGAAGAAACAGAGGGGUUGAAAAGCAAUGACAGAGGUAAAUGUAUAAAUGCUGCUCUGCCUGAUCAGGGGCAUUAUCUGGAUUUAGUUGUUUUUCUUAUUUCUGAAUGGGAAUAAAA